rnacentral:rRNA from 1 species
GACGUAGGGCGCGAGCGUUGUCCGGAUUUAUUGGGCGUAAAGAGCUCGUAGGCGGCUUGUCGCGUCGACCGUGAAAUCCCCGAGGCUCAACCUCGGGUCUGCAGUCGAUACGGGGCAAAACUAGAGUAUUUGCAGGGGGAGACUGGAAUUCCUGGUGUAGCGGUGGAAUGCGCAGAUAUCAGGAGGGAACACCGAUGGCGAAGGCAGGUCUCUGGGCCAUUACUGACACUGAGAAGCGAAAAGCAUGGGGGAGCGAACAGG